rnacentral:misc_RNA from 1 species
GAUGAAGAACGUAGCGAAAUGCGAUACGUAAUGUGAAUUGCAGAAUUCAGUGAUUCAUCGAGUCUUUGAACGCACAUUGCGCCCCCUGGUAUUCCGGGGGGCAUGCCUGUCCGAGCGUCAUUGCUGCCCUCAAGCACGGCUUGUGUGUUGGGCCUCCGUCCUCCUCCCGGGGGACGGGCCCGAAAGGCAGCGGCGGCACCGCGUCCGGUCCUCGAGCGUAUGGGGCUUCGUCACCCGCUCUUGUAGGCCCGGCCGGCGCUUGCCGACACAUCAAUCUUUUUUCCAGGUUGACCUCGGAUCAGGUAGGGAUACCCGCUGAACUUAAGCAUAUCAAUAAGCGGAGGA